UUUGAUUUUCCGGUUGUGCUAGAUUUUUUUUGGUUUCCGGAACUGGUAGUUUACCGGCGUCAGUAUAUAAGCCCAGGACAAUAGGCAUUGUGUUCCAUUCUGAUAUUGUUUUCAAAAUCCAUGCUCAAAAGGAUAAUCAAAGCUUUUUUAUCGCGCAAGGACAGGAUAUUUAUUAAUUCUUUAGAUCUACAUCGCCAUAAAUUCUAUUGUUUUCAUGGAGAUCCAUCGUGUUGAGCAUACUGAGAACAUCAUUGGCGAUGGGCAUAACUAAAGGAGGCUGCGAUGUGACAUGAUUGUCAUACACACUAAUGUGACAGCAACAGACAGGGAUGUUAUAAAUACUUUUACAUAUUCUGACACCAUCAUUGGGCGCAAGCAAAAAAAAUCAUAUAUUGGAAAAUUAUUUUCGACCUGGUGACGUAUUACAUUUACUUACUGACGCCACAGAUCUAUAACAAAAAAAGUUUUGUGUUAACACAAAUCUCAGGUUUCAAAAUAAUAAAAGGAACAACACAAUUAAUUUCAUGCAUUUGUGUUGAAAAUUUUAUUUAUAUAGCUCUGAAAGUUAACAAAAUACAGCCUAUUAAUGAAAAAAAAAGUACUUUUUCUGUCAUUUUUUUUUUACAUGUUGUGUCACAUCAUAAAGUGUAAAAUAUUUUCUUGGACUUCUAUCUAUAAUUUAAAAGUAAAAUAAGUAUCAACAGAUAAUAAAGCAUCUCUGUUUAAAAUUGUAUUCAAUUAUCUCUUAAGGUUUAAAAGUUAGAGUCUUCUAAAUGUGAAAAAGUACUUCUUGUCGACCGUUUCUUUUUUUACAAGUAACCUCACUUUAAAAACGAAUAAGAACAUUAUGUCACAGUCUACCACUUGUUUGAAAUUGAAAUAAAUAUCAGGACAUAAUCAUGUAUUUCUGGUGAAAAUUACAUGCAAAUAACUCAAAUAGUAAAUAAGUUACAGCAUUUUUAAUGUGAAAUUUUCCUUUUUCGGUCACAAUUAAAAAAAAAUAAUAUAGGCAAAAUUUUCGCCACUAAAAUUGCUAUAACUUCUGUUCUAAUCAACUUAGAAACAUAAAUUAGGUAUCAAUAAACUCGGUUCCAAAAGCUCUAACUAACUAUAUUAGUUUCAAUACAAUAUAUUGAGUCUGAAAUUUUUAUCAAAGUACCUAAUUAAAUUUUAUUU